AGCAGCCGCGGUAAUUCCAGCUCCAAUAGCGUAUAUUAAAGUUGUUGCAGUUAAAAAGCUCGUAGUUGAAUUUCGGGGUCAGCAAGUUGGUCGUGCCACCGGUAUGCACUGGCUUUGCUGAUUCCUCCUUCUUGUAGAACCGUAAUGCCAUUAAGUUGGUGUUGCGGGAAAACAGGACUGUUACUUUGAAAAAAUUGGAGUGUUUAAAGCAGGCUAACGCUUGAAUACAUUAGCAUGGAAUAAUGAAAUAGGACGACGAUCCUAUUUUGUUGGUUUCUAGGAUUGACGUAAUGAUUAAUAGGGAUAGUUGGGGGCAUUAGUAUUCAAUUGUCAGAGGUGAAAUUCUUGGAUUUAUUGAAGACUGACUACUGCGAAAGCAUUUGCCAAGGAUGUUUUCAUUAAUCAAGAACGAAAGUUAGGGGAUCGAAGACGAUCAGAUACCGUCGUAGUCUUAACCAUAAACUAUGCCGACUAGGGAUCGGAUGAUGUUAAUUUUAUAAUGACUCA
rnacentral:rRNA from 1 species